rnacentral:tRNA from 1 species
GCGGGCGUGGUGUAGUGGUAGCACUGAGGUUUUCAAAACUUCUGGGGAGGGUUCGAUUCCUUCCGUCCGUG